CAAAUCACCAGUUCAUAAUUCUAUAGAUUUACAUUCUGGGGUUGAUACUUUGAAUUUCAGUUUAGGUUAAAGAAGGGUUUUAAAAAGUGACCUUGUGUAUGUUUAUAACCGGAUUUGUUUUUUUAAUUACAAGCAUGGUGUUCUUUGGUUAUAAUUUACUCUUUUCAUUUUAUUUUAUUUUUCCUUCUUUGUGCACAUAUGUAUUUUUCAUUAAUACUUAAUAGCUGCCGAUUUUAUUUCGAUACUCAGUUGUUGACCAGGUUUAGACAACACUUCACUAAUAAUGAGUUCUUUCUUGCAUAGAAUUCAAUUCUAAUGCUUUUAGUUCAAUAGGUCCAUACACAAAUCUUUCGG
rnacentral:lncRNA from 1 species